UAGGGAAUAUUGCACAAUGGGCGAAAGCCUGAUGCAGCAACGCCGCGUGCGCGAUGAAGGCCUUCGGGUCGUAAAGCGCUUUUUGGGGAGAUGAGAAAGGACAGUAUCCCCAGAAUAAGGAUCGGCUAACUACGUGCCAGCAGCCGCGGUAACACGUAGGAUCCGAGCGUUAUCCGAAUUUACUGGGCGUAAAGCGCGUGCAGGCGGUUUGGUAAGUUGGAUGUGAAAGCUCCUGGCUCAACUGGGAGAGGCCGUUCAAAACUACCAGACUAGAGGGCGGUAGAGGGAUGUGGAAUUCCAGGUGUAGUGGUGAAAUGCGUAGAUAUCUGGAGGAACACCAGUGGCGAAAGCGACAUCCUGGACCGUACCUGACGCUCAGACGCGAAAGCUAGGGGAGCGAACGGG
rnacentral:rRNA from 1 species